rnacentral:rRNA from 1 species
CGUUGUUCGGAAUUACUGGGCGUAAAGCGCGCGUAGGCGGCUUUGUAAGUUAGAGGUGAAAGCCCGGAGCUCAACUCCGGAACCGCCUUUAAGACUGCAUCGCUAGAAUUGUGGAGAGGUAAGUGGAAUUCCGAGUGUAGAGGUGAAAUUCGUAGAUAUUCGGAAGAGCACCAGUGGCGAAGGCGACUUACUGGACACAUAUUGACGCUGAGGUGCGAAAGCGUGGGGAGCAAACAGG